CCACAAACGCACACCCAACAACCAUUCCAUUCCUCUCCAGGCAGCAGCACGUUGACAGCCCACAGAUGGAAACCACAGACCAUGGCGAAGUCACAUACUCCACCAUCGCCCAUGUUCAACGGGACAGGGUGAGUCAUGGCACAGCUGUGCACAGCUCCUUUCUGCACUCCUGCAGCGUGGU
rnacentral:lncRNA from 1 species